UACGUAGGGUGCAAGCGUUAAUCGGAAUUACUGGGCGUAAAGCGUGCGCAGGCGGUUAUGCAAGACAGAUGUGAAAUCCCCGGGCUCAACCUGGGAACUGCAUUUGUGACUGCAUAGCUAGAGUACGGCAGAGGGGGAUGGAAUUCCGCGUGUAGCAGUGAAAUGCGUAGAGAUGUGGAGGAAUACCGAUGGCGAAGGCAGCCCCCUGGGAUAACACUGACGCUGAGGCACGAAAGCGUGGGGAGCAAACAGG
rnacentral:rRNA from 1 species